rnacentral:rRNA from 1 species
CCUACGGGGGGCAGCAGUGGGGAAUAGUGGACAAUGGGGGCAACCCUGAUCCAGCCAUGCCGCGUGUGUGAAGAAGGCCCUCGGGUUGUAAAGCACUUUCAGUGAGGAAGAACGCCUGGUGGUUAAUACCCAUCAGGAAAGACAUCACUCACAGAAGAAGCACCGGCUAACUCCGUGCCAGCAGCCGCGGUAAUACGGAGGGUGCGAGCGUUAAUCGGAAUUACUGGGCGUAAAGCGCGCGUAGGUGGCUUGAUAAGCCGGUUGUGAAAGCCCCGGGCUCAACCUGGGAACGGCAUCCGGAACUGUCAAGCUAGAGUGCAGGAGAGGAAGGUAGAAUUCCCGGUGUAGCGGUGAAAUGCGUAGAGAUCGGGAGGAAUACCAGUGGCGAAGGCGGCCUUCUGGACUGACACUGACACUGAGGUGCGAAAGCGUGGGUAGCAAACAGGAUUAGAUACCCUAGUAGUC